rnacentral:rRNA from 1 species
UACGUAGGGGGCAAGCGUUGUCCGGAUUUAUUGGGCGUAAAGAGCGUGUAGGCGGCCAUACAGGUCCGUUGUGAAAACUGGAGGCUUAACCUCCAGACGUCGAUGGAAACCGUAUGGCUAGAGUCCGGAAGAGGAGAGUGGAAUUCCUGGUGUAGCGGUGAAAUGCGCAGAUAUCAGGAAGAACACCCGUGGCGAAGGCGGCUCUCUGGGACGGUGCUGACGCUGAGACGCGAAAGCGUGGGGAGCGAACAGG